rnacentral:lncRNA from 1 species
AUGUGGGCCUCAGAACAGCACGUUCAGCCGGAAGAUACUUUUUUUUACUGGCCUGAGGAUUAUGAUGACGGGUACGGGGCCCAACAAAUAAAUGGCCAGUACAUUGCCCAACUGCUUCAGGACCAAACAACGUUCGCUGACGACCAGGACGGGGCUCCAACCUAUGAAGACCUGACAACCGUUGAUGUCUUGUCUAUCGCAGAGUACUGCCACCCACAAAAUCCUUGCCCUACAACCAUCAACCCCAUUCCUAAUGAUGUGCACAUGCAGGCCCAACAACAUAUUGAGCUCCAAACCUUCAUCCCAUCGGCUGUGUCUGCUAUGACAUAUAAUGGACUUCCAGUGUUCACUGCAGGGAUGGAUCCACUUCCCACUUUUGGAGGACAGAAUGAGAAUGACGUUGUUUCAAUCGUGCAACCAGAACCCCCAGCAGUCCCAGCAGUCCCAGCCCCCCCAGUGAAGGCUCCAGUCUUAAAAAAGGUGAACAAGCGUAAGGCAGAGAAGGUGGAAGAGGGGCUGUACAUAAAAAAGCCCCCCAAUGCCUUCAUGCUGUUUCUCAAAGAGCACAGGAAGUCUGCGGAGGAAGAUCUGGGCGUGAGGACGAGCGCUGUCGUCAACAAAUUCCUCGGUGAACGGUGGAAGUCAUUGCCAGCGGAGGACAAAGAUCAGUAUAAUACUGAGGCCAAACGUUGUGCUUUGCUCCACCACGAGCAGAACCCCGGCUGGACCAACAAGAAGAACUAUGUAAGUCUACCCUGCAGACAUGUUGCCACAGCAACCUUAAAG